rnacentral:rRNA from 1 species
CUGGCGGCGUGCCUAACACAUGCAAGUCGAGCGGAGUUAACAAGAGGAAGUUUCGGAUGGAAUUUGUAAUUAGCGGCGGACGGGUGAGUAACGCGUGAGCGACCAACCUUGCACAGGGGGAUAACGGACCGAAAGGUUCACUAAUACCGCAUGAGACCACGGUGUUGCAUGACACAGAGGUCAAAGGAGCAAUCCGGUGCAAGACGGGCUCGCGUCCGAUUAGGUAGUUGGUGGGGUAAUGGCCCACCAAGCCUAUGAUCGGUAGCCGACCUGAGAGGGUGAUCGGCCACAUUGGAACUGAGAUACGGCCCAAACUCCUACGGGAGGCAGCAGUGGGGAAUAUUGGGCAAAUGGGGGAAACCCUGACCCAGCAACGCCGCGUGAAGGAGGAAGGUUUUCGGAUUGUAAACUUCUGUCCUUGGUGAAGAGAAGAAGACGGUAGCCAAGGAGGAAGCCCCGGCUAACUACGUGCCAGCCGCAGC